GGACCAGGGAGGGAAACGAACCCACAGCGUUCCGCUUACCGGGCAGAUGCCAUGUCCACUAGGCUAUCCUAGAC
rnacentral:tRNA from 1 species